rnacentral:rRNA from 1 species
GACGAACGCUGGCGGCGUGCCUAAUACAUGCAAGUCGAGCGAAUCUUUAAGGGGCUUGCCCCUUGAGAUUAGCGGCGGACGGGUGAGUAACACGUGGGCAACCUGCCUGUAAGACCGGGAUAACUUCGGGAAACCGGAGCUAAUACCGGAUCAUCCUUUCCUUCGCAUGAAGGAAAGCUGAAAGACGGCGUAAGCUGUCACUUACAGAUGGGCCCGCGGCGCAUUAGCUAGUUGGUGAGGUAACGGCUCACCAAGGCGACGAUGCGUAGCCGACCUGAGAGGGUGAUCGGCCACACUGGGACUGAGACACGGCCCAGACUCCUACGGGAGGCAGCAGUAGGGAAUCUUCCACAAUGGACGAAAGUCUGAUGGAGCAACGCCGCGUGAGCGAUGAAGGCCUUCGGGUCGUAAAGCUCUGUUGUUAGGGAAGAACAAGUACCGGAGUAACUGCCGG